CACAGAGUCAGAAACGACUGAAGUGACUUAGCAUAGCAGCAUGGCAUUGAGUUUCUAUAGCCUUUAGAAUGUAAGCUAGGAGUCAACACUUAAAAAAGGUGUACUUAAGUCAGACUUGUGAGUCAUCCUGGACACAGUUUGAAAAUACUAAGCUUGUGAGUAACUGAGCCAAGAUAUGUGACCUGAAAAACAUUCUAUCAAGCUAAAGAAAACUUCCCAAACUAAAGACUCAUACUGAACCAGAAGCCUGUGUCAUUGUUUCAGACACAUGUAAUUGCCCAUUAGGAGCCCCACUGAGGACACUUCUCUUUGUGUUGCUCGGCCUCUUGUAGUAGACUCAGGUACAUGGCAAAUGAACAAAUAACAGCACAAUUAUUAGUCACAAUGUCUCUUCACACACAUUUUCAGCAUUGGUCUAAAAUAGUUCCAAGAAUCUUUCCUCAAGGUUAAAAUUAAUCACAACAGAUGGUCCGAUUUUAAGAGAUUUGGAAAAAGUUUUGUUGCUCUGUUAACGUGGUACUGUCCCAUCAAGUGUGUCAGCUAUAUCUAGAAAGGACACAGUGAUGGAAGGAACUCUGAGAAGAACACUUGACAUAAGCAGGGGUUCUUAUCUGGGCAUCCCAUUCACUCCUCAACCCACUGCACCUUAGAAUGCUAAUUCAGUAUUUAAAACUACUUUCUUAAAAGGCCACUAAUGAAGUUGCCAGAGCCCCACCUCUGCAUCAUUUCACACUGUUAGUGACUAAUUUCCUUCACACACCUGUCCUCUUACUUGACCCUGUAUGCAUCAAUAUUCUUUUCUUUGCAGGGCACUCUAUCAGUGUUCUUUCCCAUGGAGGGUGGUGUGUGCGCUCAAUUGCUCAAGCGUGUUCAACUCUGCAAAAGCCUCAUGGACUGGAGCUUGCCAUGCUUCUCUGCCCAUGGUGGUGAUAAUUACAAAUGAUCACAGUGACCUAAAUCUUGGUUGACCUCUGUCCAGAGUUUACAAGUAUUUGUUGAAAUGACACUGUGCAUUGUUUGAUCCACAAAAGAUUUUCAAUCACAUUCUAAUUUGGAUCACUGUUCUUCAGUUUCUCGUGGAUGACCGCAAGGGUCUUUAGAUUUACAUUUUGGUGUAUGGAGUCUCAUCAUGAUCAUAGCAAAGUUACUUUUAGAAAAAUUACAGCCUUGAUUUUUUUGAAGCUAUUCAAUGUAUGCUAGCCAUGUAAACAAAAUUUGAUGUGAUGUCUAGCUGACUUGAUCAUGUCAUAUCAAUAUGUAUGUAUCUCUGUUAACUAUGCAGACUAAUAAAACCUUCAAACUGAAGGGACCUGAGAAAAACAUACACAUUUGUUAUUCAGUCUCUGCUUGAACUGAUGCCAUCAAUGUUCAUCUCCAGCUCAUAGAACAUCUGUGUUAGGUUGAGAUCCUUCUGUUCUCUAAACUGAGUUGAGUUGAAAUUUGCUUAUUCCCUCUCCCAAUGCCACAUGAAAUCCACAUAAUGCCUCAUGUAACUGUGGAAACUGAAAAGUAAGGUACAUUAUAUUUUAGGACUACUUAGGGCCUUAAAUUUUUCCUCCUAGAAAACAGUAUGUUUUCUGUAAGUAUAAAGUCAAAAAUCCAUACUGUUCAUUCUUUUCCAGUUUAAUGUUUCAUUCUUCAUUUUUAGAGCUAAGAAUCAAAUAUUUAGUAUGAAAAACUGAUGUCCAAAAAAAGACUUUAAA
rnacentral:lncRNA from 1 species